AGGGAAUAUUGGUCAAUGGAGGCAACUCUGAACCAGCCAUGCCGCGUGUAGGAAGAAGGCGUUCUGCGUUGUAAACUACUUUUGAUUGGGAACAAAUGACUCUUGCGAGAGUAGCUGAGUGUACCAAUAGAAUAAGCCACGGCUAACUACGUGCCAGCAGCCGCGGUAAUACGUAGGUGGCAAGCGUUGUCCGGAUUUAUUGGGUUUAAAGGGUGCGUAGGCGGCUUGAUAAGUCAGUGGUGAAAGCCGAUCGCUUAACGAUCGAACUGCCAUUGAUACUGCCAGGCUUGAGUAUAGUUGAGGUAGGCGGAAUUGACAGUGUAGCGGUGAAAUGCAUAGAUAUUGUCAAGAACACCAAUUGCGAAGGCAGCUUACUAAAGUAUAACUGACGCUGAGGCACGAAAGUGCGGGGAUCAAAC
rnacentral:rRNA from 1 species